GGGAUAGAAUUCCAGGAGUAGCGGUGAAAUGCGUAAAUAUCUGGAGGAAUACCAAAGGCGAAGGCAGUCCCCUGGUCCGAUACUGACACUGAGGUACGAAAGCGUGGGGAGCAAACAGGAUUAGAUACCCUGGUAGUCCACGCCCUAAACGAUGUCGAUUAGCCAUUGGAAGGACCCCUUUUCCUUUCAGUGACGUAGCUAACGCGUUAAAUCGACCGCCUGGGAAGUACGACCGCAAGGUUAAAACUCAAAGGAAUUGACGGGGACCUGAACAAGCGGUGAAUGAUGUGGAUUAAUUCGAUGCUACGCGAAGAACCUUACCUACCUUUGACAUGGCCAAAGUUCUACCGAGAGGCGGAAGUACUCGUAAGAGGAUUGGCGCACAGGUGCUGCAUGGUUGUCGUCAGUUCGUGUCGUGAGAUGUUGGGUUCAGUCCCGCAACGAACGCAACCCUUAUCUUUAAUUGCUCCUAUUUUAACAGGCACUUUAAAGAAACUGCCAAUGAUAAGUUGGAGGAAGGUGGGGAUCACGUCAAGUCCGCAUGGCCUUUAUAGGUAGGGCUUCACACGUCAUACAAUGGUUAGAACAAAGAGCUGCAAAUUCGUAAGAAGGAGCCAAUCUCACAAACCUAACCUCAGUUCGAAUUGCGGUCUGCAACUCGAGCGCAUGAAGCCGGAAUCGCUAGUAAUCGUGGAUCAGAAUGCCACGGUGAAUACGUUCUUAGGUCUU
rnacentral:rRNA from 1 species